AAAAUCAAUUAGAAAAAAUCUAGAGAGACUAGAGAGAGAAAAUGCAUCUUCAACGGUGAAGUCCAAUGGACAUGUCCAAUAUAUCUUCAUCUCCUACGAUAUCAACUUAAUGAAGUAAUGUGAUGUUCCAUCAAAACUGAGCUCGAGUGAAAUUUACCUAGACUCUUAAAAUUAUCACAAACGCCAUGAAUUUGGACUCAAUAAAGACUUCUUCAGCUUAAAAUCAGUUUACCAUAUUAUACCACCUCAAUAAGAUUGAUAUCUUUCCUAAUUUCAGUACUAAAGUUACUCGAAGGAGCUUACCUAACCAACCUUUUGUCUCUGCAAGCUGAGCUCCAAAGAGCUAAUACCACUGCAUAAGAAUUCAGAUCUAGCAGGUACCAGAUGUAAUCCACACACUAGGGUCGGACAGUUCUCAGUAUUCAACCAGCAGGUGAUGAGUUCUCUUAUUUUGGGGACUUUAGUCCAUUGCAGUUCAUAUGUUGUAUUUUGAUUAUCCAUAUGUAUUGGUUAGUAGUAGCUGGAGGCAUGUCCCAACAGCUUAUUAUCAUUAUAGUAGAGGAUUCAAAGAUAGUCAGUCAGAGUUAUUCAUGAAAUUUCAAGUUUUUUUUUCAAUUUUAUCAUGUUGUAAACUUGAUCAGUAAUUCAUUCAUUCAGAUUUUUAUCA